AUAUCAAUAAGCGGAGGAAAAGAAACCAACAGGGAUUGCCUUAGUAACGGCGAGUGAAGCGGCAACAGCUCAAAUUUGAAAUCUGCCUCUAGGCCGAGUUGUAAUUUGUAGAAGAUGCUUCGGGUGUGGCACCGGUCUAAGUUCCUUGGAACAGGACGUCAUAGAGGGUGAGGGUCCCGUCUAGAACCGAUAGCCGCGUCCAUGUGAAACUCCUUCGACGAGUCGAGUUGUUUGGGAAUGCAGCUCAAAAUGGGUGGUAAAUUUCAUCUAAAGCUAAAUAUUGGCCAGAGACCGAUAGCGCACAAGUA
rnacentral:rRNA from 1 species